rnacentral:antisense_RNA from 1 species
GUAACAAGCAGAGAAUUUAGAGUCUCACGGCCGUCAGACUGUAUUCGUACUGGUUUGUUACACCACUGCUAAUUCAUAUUUAACUCCUAUAUUUGUAUCCGCCCAAACCUGAUUAGUUUGGGCUUUUUUUU